AUGUCUAAAGUUAAAGGUGAGCCUAAACUUAUUAGUAAACAUGCUUCUAUGGUUACCACUCAAGUAGAACAAGUACUUAAAGCUCAGAAUGAUUUGCUCAAUGAAUUAGAUAAUAAGAAAAAUGAGAAUGUUGUUAGAGUUGUGACUAGAGAGGGUAAAAUGACUCAGGAACCUUUGUAUCCUGAGGGCCACCCUAAGAGAAUUGAGCAAGAUUCUCAGAGAACUAAUGUUGAUACACCUAGUUCUUCUAAGAAGAAGAAAAGGAAAAUAAUAGGACUUUGCAUGCUUCUAGUGAACCUGUUGCUGAGACACCUGAGAAUCCCAUUGAUAUUUCUAUUUCUGGUACUGAAACACAAUUUGGUAAUGAAAAUGAACCUAGUGAUAAUGUUAAUGAUGAUGUUCAUGUUGAUGCUCAACCUAGCAAUAACAAUGAUCUAG
rnacentral:rRNA from 1 species